rnacentral:rRNA from 1 species
GUCGAACGCUGGCGGCGUGCCUAAUACAUGCAAGUAGAACGCAGUUUCGCACGGGUGAGUAACGCGUCUGUAACUUCCUCAUAGCGGGGGGUAACUAUUGGAAACGAUAGCUAAUAACCCAUACUGUGAGCUGGACCUGCGUUGUAUUAGCUAGUUGGUGAGGCAAAGGCUCACCAAGGCGACGAUCCAUAGCCUACCUGAGAGGGAGAACGGCCACACUGGGACUGAGACAAGGCCCAGACUCCUACGGGAGGCAGCAGGAGGGAAUCUUCGGCAAAUGAGGGAAGUCCGACCGAGCAACGCCGCGUGAGGGAAGAAGGGUUUCGGAUUGUAAAGCUCUGUUGUGAGAGAAGCGGUAACUAACGAGAAAGGGACGGCUAACUACGUGCCAGCAGCCGCGGUAAUUC